rnacentral:tRNA from 1 species
CUAAGGAAAUGGAAGACGUUUGGUCUUGUCUUAUUUAGUUUUGAGAGGUCUUAUUUAAGUUAUGAGAACGUUAAGAAAUCUGUAUGAAAAAGAUUUUAGUUUGAAUACAAUUAAGCUUCACGUAAUAGAAUAGUACCACCACUAAUAAUGUAACAACCAGUUUAUUAGUCGGGGCCUUAGCUCAGCUGGGAGAGCGCCUGCUUUGCACGCAGGAGGUCAGCGGUUCGAUCCCGCUAGGCUCCAUAGGAUAUAAGUCCACCUAAACUUAAUAAUAAGUGAAGUUGAACACGCAACUAACUUCCUAGGAAAAUAGAUAAUCUUCCUUGUGUGCAAGCACACUGUGUCAGAAUCCUAAUUUUCUACAGAAGUUUCGCUAAAGCGAGCGUUGCUUUGUAUCCUAAACAUAGUCCAUUGAAAAUUGAAUAACUAUAUCAAAUUCCACGAUCAUUAAAAUGAUUGUAGAAAAGUAACAAGAAAUAAACCGAAAAAAAGAUAAACGCGAACAUAUUAAAAAAAAUAAGAAGGUCGAAAGACUGGAAUAA